rnacentral:pre_miRNA from 1 species
AGCUGGUUGAAUCCGGGCCAAAUUGUACGAGAGUUGAAGACAUUUGGUCCCCUUCAACCAGCUGU